rnacentral:rRNA from 1 species
AUGAGGAACUGGACGGAAGAUAUGGCUGUGAGAAGAGACAAAUAUGACUAUGAAUAUGGUCGUGGUGUUGGGAUGAUCAAUGACAACAUUACAGAGGAGUAUAGGCUGAAAAAAAUUGCAGAAGAAGAAGCUCAAAAAACCAAGAAAGCUAGUAGCAAAAAGUCUAACGUUACUGGAACGAGGAAAGAGGGCAGUACCUCAGAGGCUUCGAGCCAGAAGCCUACUAUGGACCGGAUUUUGAGUGAGAUGAAUGAGCUUCGGAAGGAAAUGCUUCGUUUGCUAGAGUUAUGCGCACAGAGGAUGAUUGAGAAACUGAACAAAACCGACGUCUUCUACAAACCCAGUAACCUGGAAGAGGACGAAGAGAAUCUGCACGGAGGCAAUAAUGAGUCUUCAAAUGAUGGUAGACGUCCGGAAAAAGAGUUUGUAUAUAAAAAAGAUGAUUCAGACCGGUUCCGCACACCUUCCAAAAUGAAUUUGCAAAAGGAUGAUGACGGCGGUGAUGUAACUUCUCAUGGAAACACACAUUUUUACUGCACACCUGAGUACUGGGAUAGUUUCAAGGGAGUACAAGAGGAAGUGGAGGAGGUUACUGGCAGGCGCAAGCGCAAAGGAUCACAACAUGUCAAGUCUCCUUAUGUGGUCCCUAAACCGAACAAGCAUGCAAAACGUUCUGCGAAAGGAAAAUUGUUCCAAAAUGGUGGUGUUAACAAAUCUAGUGAUGAGUAUGAUGUGGUGAAAGCGUCCAUCAAGUACGUGCGCGCGCAUGAGCAUUCACAAAAACAUGCCCAAACAAAAAAUUUCAAUGAUGGCUUGGAAGAAGGUCUCACUGUGCGGAGAGCUUGUCAGAUUAUAAACCAUGAGUGGCUAAGUGGAGACGUAAUUAAUGCAUACUCAUCAUAUUUGCUCGACAAAGUUAGUGAUGAUCGUUUCAUGUUGACAACUUGGAGGAUACAUUGGUUGCUUCAUGUUAGACCCGGGAAGAAGACCGCCGGUAACGAUUAUGAAGCAGAGUCGCAUAGUAAUGGACCCGUUAAUAGAUGUGAGGACGAGUAUUUCAAAAAAUCAAAGAGAAAACAACUAGCAUAA